CUCAGUGAAACACAAUCUCAUUUUACAGCAUAUCCAAGUCCGAGAAAAGAGUGAGGUCUAGCUACUGGAUCCAGACAUGCACGAAGCCGCUAUCGCCGGAUACGCUUGGCACCUACGUGGACACAGCCGCAGAAAAAUUUGGCGACCGUGUUGGCUGGGCGUUUGUGCAGGAGGGAAAGCAGUGCACCUUCGCUGACUUCAGAGAUCAGGUUGACCGAGUAGCCCAAGGCCUGCUGUCUCUCGGCUUCUGCAAGGGAGACACCUUGUUAAUAUGGUCCCCCAACACCUUCAACUGGAUUCUGAUGGCCGCUGCGAUGGCUAAAGUUGGAAUAAUUUCAGCAAGCAUCCACUUUGCACUGACAGCAGCCGAAUUUGAAAAAUGCCUCAAGACGGUGAGUUAUUAGCUAACGUUUCAAAA
rnacentral:lncRNA from 1 species